rnacentral:rRNA from 1 species
AUUGAACGCUGGCGGCAUGCUUUACACAUGCAAGUCGAACGACAGCGUGGAGGAGCUUGCUUCUCUACCGUCGAGUGGCGAGCGUGUGUGUAAUACAUCUGAACGAGUCAAAAAGAGGGGGAUAACCACCCGAAACGGUGCCUAAUACGGCAUAAAUACUGAGCAGGAAAGCUGGGUAGCGAGAAAUAGUCCUAGCGCUUUUUAAACAUCCGAUGUCGGAUUAGCUAGUUGGUGAGGUAAAGGCUCACCAAGGCGAAGAUCUGUAACAGGUCUGAGAGGAUGAUCCGCCACACUGGGACUGAGACACGGCCCAGACUCCUACGGGAGGCAGCAGUGGGGAAUUUUCGACAAUGGGCGCAAGCCUGAUCCAGCCAUGCCGCGUGUAUGAAGAAGGCCUUAGGGUUGUAAAGUACUGUUGUUAGGGAAGAAAAAUCAGCUGAGAAUAAUGGCUGAUACUGACGGUACCUAAAGAAUAAGCCACGGCUAACUACGUG